rnacentral:rRNA from 1 species
GCAUAUCAAUAAGCGGAGGAAAAGAAACCAACAGGGAUUGCCCUAGUAACGGCGAGUGAAGCGGCAACAGCUCAAAUUUGAAAUCUGGCUCUUUCAGGGUCCGAGUUGUAAUUUGCAGAGGGCGCUUUGGCGUUGGCAGCGGUCCAAGUUCUUUGGAACAGGACGUCACAGAGGGUGAGAAUCCCGUACGUGGUCGCUAGCCUUCGCCGUGUAAAGCCCCUUCGACGAGUCGAGUUGUUUGGGAAUGCAGCUCUAAAUGGGAGGUAAAUUUCUUCUAAAGCUAAAUACUGGCCAGAGACCGAUAGCGCACAAGUAGAGUGAUCGAAAGAUGAAAAGCACUUUGGAAAGAGAGUCAAAUAGCACGUGAAAUUGUUGAAAGGGAAGCGCUUGCAGCCAGACUUGCCUGUAGUUGCUUAUCUGGACUUUUGUCCGGUGCACUCUUCUGCGGGCAGGCCAGCAUCAGUUUGGGCGGUUGGAUAAAGGUCUCUGUCAUGUACCUCCUUUCGGGGAGGCCUUAUAGGGGAGACGACAUGCAACCAGCCUGGACUGAGGUCCGCGCAUCUGCUAGGAUGCUGGCGUAAUGGCUGUAAGCGGCCCGUCUUGAAACACGGACCAAGGAGUCUAACAUCUAUGCGAGUGUUUGGGUGUCAAGCCCAGACGCGUAAUGAAAGUGAACGGAGGUGGGAACCCUUUGGGUGCACCAUCGACCGAUCCUGAUGUCUUCGGAUGGAUUUGAGUAAGAGCAUGGCUGUUGGGACCCGAAAGAUGGUGAACUAUGCUUGAAUAGGGUGAAGCCAGAGGAAACUCUGGUGGAGGCUCGCAGCGGUUCUGACGUGCAAAUCGAUCGUCAAAUUUGGGCAUAGGGGCGAAAGACUAAUCGAACUAUCUAGUAGCUGGU